CGGGUGCGUAACACGUGAACAACCUGCCCUCGUGUGGGGGAUAGCCAUGCUAACGCGUGGGUAAUACCGCAUACGUUCUCUGAAGGGAGUCCUUUGGAGAGGAAAGCUCCGGCGCACGGGGAGGGGUUCGCGGCCUAUCAGCUAGUUGGCGAGGUAACGGCUCACCAAGGCGACGACGGGUAGCUGGUCUGAGAGGAUGGCCAGCCACAUUGGGACUGAGAGACGGCCCAG
rnacentral:rRNA from 1 species